UUAAUGCAGUUUUCUUUAACUUUCUGCAUUGGGUUAGUAAUAUUGUUAAAGCACCUAUUGUUUCUUUCCUUCCAAAUUGACCACCAUAUGCAAGAUGGAACUAGAUUCCACCAUUUUUUCUGUGUUUUACUCCCCCCUCUUCUCAUCCAACAAUUUAGUAGGUCAGCAGUAUGCUCAGGCACCACCCAAGGAUCUUGAAUAAUGCUUU